CCGGAAGGCAGCAGCGCCGAGUGUCUUGGUGGC
rnacentral:SRP_RNA from 14 species